GGACAAUGACGAUUUAUAUCAUUGGUCUCGUUCGUCGUAAUGGUGUAUAAAAUCCACCUUGACGACCAUUCUGAUAUAUCACCACCCAUAAACUGAGUCG
rfam:Capsicum annuum cultivar Zunla-1 chromosome 9, whole genome shotgun sequence